rnacentral:rRNA from 1 species
CCUACGGGUGGCAGCAGUGAGGAAUAUUGGUCAAUGGGCGCAAGCCUGAACCAGCCAAGUCGCGUGAGGGAUGACUGCGCUACGGGUCGUAGACCUCUUUUAUAAGGGAAUAAAGUGCGGGACGUGUCCCGUUUUGUAUGUACCUUAUGAAUAAGGAUCGGCUAACUCCGUGCCAGCAGCCGCGGUAAUACGGAGGAUCCGAGCGUUAUCCGGAUUUAUUGGGUUUAAAGGGUGCGUAGGUGGGCUGUUAAGUCAGCGGUGAAAGUCUGUGGCUCAACCCUAACAUUGCCGUUGAUACUGGGAGCCUUGAGUACGGUUGAGGCAGGCGGAAUGCGUGGUGUAGCGGUGAAAUGCUUAGAUAUCACGCAGAACCCCGAUUGCGAAGGCAGCUUGCCAAGCCGCCACUGACGCUGAUGCACGAAAGCGUGGGGAUCAAACAGGAUUAGAUACCCUUGUAGUC